CCACAAUAGAAUUCUUAUAUGCAACAUUUCCUAAGUAUUGGACCACACUAAUAUUAUAUAAAAGAGAUGGAUCUAAAUGAUAUUAUUCCUCCAUUAUCUUCUCCACUUUGCGACUUUCUCUGUUUCUCACCUAGCAACAGUGACAUUUGCAGAUCCAGUCACAUAUACAGAUCCAAACAAAGCUAAUAAAAUCAAAUACAAUUAAUAAUAUAAUACAGUAAUAAUAAGUAAAGCAACCAUGAAAUUACAAAAGAUUAAAGAGUCAUUUAAAAAAAAAAAAGACCCAUUUCAAAAAAAAAGAAAAAGAGAGAAAGCACAUCAAGUAAGUGAGUUGGCUGGCUGGCGAGGGAGCAAUGGAAGGAACGAUAGCGGCAGGUCGGCAGUAUCAGCCACCAGCAGAUGGAGUUAAGAUUUGGGUGUGUGGUUUGUGCGGUCAUGGUUUUGUGUAGUUGAAAGUGAGAGAUUGG
rnacentral:lncRNA from 1 species